CCUGCUGGAAUUAGCCAGGUUGUUGAAAUAAGAGGAGAAAGUGAUUCAGCCGCACGAGGAGCGGGUUGAGGUUGUUAUUCCAAGCACCGCCGAGGUCAGGAAGUGAAAAUUAGAGCCGCUUCAGAGGCAAGUCAAGAACAGAAUGGUAGUCUUGUUGGAGGAGCAUGUGGAUACCUUCGCCUGGUCAUGUCAGGGUAUGUCAGGGUCGGAUACCA
rnacentral:lncRNA from 1 species